rnacentral:rRNA from 1 species
GACGAACGCUGGCGGCGUGCUUAACACGUGCAAGUCGAGCGAGGCCCCUCCUUCGGGAGGGUGUCCUAGCGGCGAACGGGUGAGUAACACGUGGGCAACCUGCCCUCAGCUCUGGGAUAACUCCGGGAAACCGGGGCUAAUACCGGAUACGACCUCCACGGGCAUCUGCGGAGGUGGAAAGUUUUUCGGCUGAGGAUGGGCCCGCGGCCUAUCAGCUAGUUGGUGGGGUAGUGGCCCACCAAGGCGACGACGGGUAGCCGGCCUGAGAGGGCGACCGGCCACACUGGGACUGAGACACGGCCCAGACUCCUACGGGAGGCAGCAGUGGGGAAUAUUGCGCAAUGGGCGAAAGCCUGACGCAGCGACGCCGCGUGAGGGACGAAGGCCUUCGGGUUGUAAACCUCUUUCAGCAGGGACGAAGCGAAAGUGACGGUACCUGCAGAAGAAGCACCGGCCAACUACGUG